rnacentral:rRNA from 1 species
UACGUAGGGCGCAAGCGUUAUCCGGAAUUAUUGGGCGUAAAGAGCUCGUAGGCGGUUUGUCGCGUCUGCCGUGAAAGUCCGGGGCUCAACUCCGGAUCUGCGGUGGGUACGGGCAGACUAGAGUGAUGUAGGGGAGACUGGAAUUCCUGGUGUAGCGGUGAAAUGCGCAGAUAUCAGGAGGAACACCGAUGGCGAAGGCAGGUCUCUGGGCAUUAACUGACGCUGAGGAGCGAAAGCAUGGGGUGCGAACAGG